rnacentral:rRNA from 1 species
UACAGAGGGGGCAAGCGUUGUUCGGAAUUACUGGGCGUAAAGGGCGCGUAGGCGGCCUUCUAAGUCGAACGUGAAGUCCCCGGGCUCAACCCGGGAACUGCGUCCGAUACUGGAAGGCUUGAAUCCGGGAGAGGGAUGCGGAAUUCCAGGUGUAGCGGUGAAAUGCGUAGAUAUCUGGAGGAACACCGGUGGCGAAGGCGGCAUCCUGGACCGGUAUUGACGCUGAGGCGCGAAAGCCAGGGGAGCAAACGGG